ACGGUAUAGGAUGGGCAUGCGUCCCAUUAGCUAGAUGGUGAGGUAACGGCUCACCAUGGCGACGAUGGGUAGGGGGCCUGAGAGGGUGGUCCCCCACACUGGUACUGAGACACGGACCAGACUCCUACGGGAGGCAGCAGUGAGGAAUAUUGGUCAAUGGGCGAGAGCCUGAACCAGCCAUGCCGCGUGCAGGAAGACGGUCCUAUGGAUUGUAAACUGCUUUUAUUUGGGAAUAAACUCCGGUACGUGUACCGGCCUGAAGGUACCAAAUGAAUAAGCACCGGCUAACUCCGUGCCAGCAGCCGCGGUAAUACGGAGGGUGCAAGCGUUAUCCGGAAUCAUUGGGUUUAAAGGGUCCGCAGGCGGUCUUAUAAGUCAGUGGUGAAAGCCUACAGCUCAACUGUAGAACUGCCAUUGAUACUGUAGGACUUGAAUUCGAUCGAAGUGGGCGGAAUAUGACAUGUAGCGGUGAAAUGCUUAGAUAUGUCAUAGAACACCGAUAGCGAAGGCAGCUCACUAGGUCUGGAUUGACGCUCAGGGACGAAAGCGUGGGGAGCAAACAGGAUUAGAU
rnacentral:rRNA from 1 species